CAGGGGCUGAAUUAGAAGAAAUAACAUCGUUAAACGCACUCAUUGCUACAAAAGUAUAUCCUCUGUGUGAAAAAUCCCAUAUAUCAGCAAAACGAAAGGAAACAAAAGAAAAAAAAUAUAAAGCAAAGGCAAAAUUGAGUAAUUACUCCAUCAGCCCCACAACCUGUACAUCUAUAGCUGAAGUGUUUAAUGUCAGAAACACUUGUUAACCAUCACUGCUUAUAAGCUAUUUAUUGCCUAGCCUUCAAAGCUUCCUUCUUCAAUUCAGCCUCUUCUGGAUCUUCAUCCUCGUUAGGACCAGCAACUGAAGAGUUGAUUAAUUCAUUUUCAUCAUUUGUAUUUUAAUCCUCGUUAGAACCAACAUGCUAACACUAACAGUGGUCUUACCUUAUUCGCAUAAUGCUUUCCAUCAACACUAAUUUGAUAAAGAGCCUGCAAUGAAUACCAAUGACUCAAGAAGUAAGCUCAAUGAUAAAAUAGAGCAUAAUUCCACAAAAUUCAAGAACUAUAGUACAUGACAACAAAGCUUAAGGGACUAGUUACACAGUACCUUACCUAUAUCAGAAUGAGCAGGACGAAUGUGAAAUCUAUUUCCUCCACUGUC
rnacentral:lncRNA from 1 species